rnacentral:rRNA from 1 species
GACGAACGCUGGCGGCGUGCUUAACACAUGCAAGUCGAACGGAAAGGCUCUGCUUUUGUGGGGUACUCGAGUGGCGAACGGGUGAGUAACACGUGAGUAACCUGCCCUUGACUUUGGGAUAACUUUAGGAAACUGGGGCUAAUACCGGAUAGGAGGUCCUGCUGCAUGGUGUUGGUUGGAAAGUUUCGGCGUUUGGGGAUGAGGUCGCGGCUUAUCUGCUUGUUGGUGGGGUAGUGGCCUACCACGGCUUCGACGGGUCGCCGGCCUGAGAGGGUGUCCGGCCACAUUGGGACUGAGAUACGGCACAGACUCCUACGGGAGGCAGCAGUGGGGAAUAUUGCACAAUGGGCGCAAGCCUGAUGCAGCGACGCCGGGUGGGGGAUGACGGCCUUCGGGUUGUAACCUCCUUUCGCUAGGGACGAGGCGAAAGUGACGGUAAGGGGAGAAGAAGCACCGGCUAACUACGUG